rnacentral:rRNA from 1 species
GAUGAACGCUGGCGGCGUGCCUAAUACAUGCAAGUCGAGCGAACGGACGAGAAGCUUGCUUCUCUGAUGUUAGCGGCGGACGGGUGAGUAACACGUGGAUAACCUACCUAUAAGACUGGGAUAACUUCGGGAAACCGUAGCUAAUACCGGAUAAUAUUUUGAACCGCAUGGUUCAAAAGUGAAAGACGGUCUUGCUGUCACUUAUAGAUGGAUCCGCGCUGCAUUAGCUAGUUGGUAAGGUAACGGCUUACCAAGGCAACGAUGCAUAGCCGACCUGAGAGGGUGAUCGGCCACACUGGAACUGAGACACGGUCCAGACUCCUACGGGAGGCAGCAGUAGGGAAUCUUCCGCAAUGGGCGAAAGCCUGACGGAGCAACGUCGCGUGAGUGAUGAAGGUCUUCGGAUCGUAAAACUCUGUUAUUAGGGAAGAACAUAUGUGUAAGUAACUGUGCACAUCUUGACGGUACCUAAUCAGAAAGCCACGGCUAACUACGUG